UAGCUCGGGUUUCUCUUCAUUUGCGCACAAAUCUUUUGCCUUUUACUGAAGAUUUCCGUGGAGGGGAACAUUGACGAGUACUUCUUAUUUUUGCAGGCUCUGCUUUUGUGGGGCG